CCUACGGGUGGCAGCAGUGGGGAAUAUUGCGCAAUGGGCGAAAGCCUGACGCAGCGACGCCGCGUGAGGGAUGAAGGUCUUCGGAUCGUAAACCUCUGUCAACAGGGAAGAACGGUCACUGUGCUAAUCAGCAGUGAAUUGACGGUACCUGCAAAGGAAGCACCGGCUAACUCCGUGCCAGCAGCCGCGGUAAUACGGAGGGUGCGAGCGUUAAUCGGAAUUACUGGGCGUAAGGCGCUCGUAGGCGGGCUUUUAAGUCAGCGGUAAAAAUUCGGGGCUCAACCCCGUCCGGCCGUUGAAACUGGGUGCCGUGAGUGGGCGAGAAGAAGGCGGAAUGCGUGGUGUAGCGGUGAAAUGCAUAGAUAUCACGCAGAACCCCGAUUGCGAAGGCAGCCUUCCGGCGCCCUACUGACGCUGAGGCACGAAAGUGCGGGGAUCGAACAGGAUUAGAUACCCUUGUAGUC
rnacentral:rRNA from 1 species